rnacentral:rRNA from 1 species
UCGGGAAUAUUGCGCAAUGGAGGAAACUCUGACGCAGUGACGCCGCGUGCAGGAAGAAGGUUUUCGGAUUGUAAACUGCUUUAGACAGGGAAGAAACAAGACAGUACAUGUAGAAUAAGCUCCGGCUAACUACGUGCC